rnacentral:rRNA from 1 species
GACGAACGCUGGCGGCGUGCCUAAUACAUGCAAGUAGAACGCUGAAGGAGGAGCUUGCUUCUCUGGAUGAGUUGCGAACGGGUGAGUAACGCGUAGGUAACCUGCCUGGUAGCGGGGGAUGACUAUUGGAAACGAUAGCUAAUACCGCAUAAGAGUGGAUGUUGCAUGACAUUUGCUUAAAAGGUGCACUUGCAUCACUACCAGAUGGACCUGCGUUGUAUUAGCUAGUUGGUGGGGUAACGGCUCACCAAGGCGACGAUACAUAGCCGACCUGAGAGGGUGAUCGGCCACACUGGGACUGAGACACGGCCCAGACUCCUACGGGAGGCAGCAGUAGGGAAUCUUCGGCAAUGGACGGAAGUCUGACCGAGCAACGCCGCGUGAGUGAAGAAGGUUUUCGGAUCGUAAAGCUCUGUUGUAAGAGAAGAACGAGUGUGAGAGUGGAAAGUUCACACUGUGACGGUAUCUUACCAGAAAGGGACGGCUAACUACGUGCCAGCAGCCGCGGUAAUACGUAGGUCCCGAGCGUUGUCCGGAUUUAUUGGGCGUAAAGCGAGCGCAGGCGGUUAGAUAAGUCUGAAGUUAAAGGCUGUGGCUUAACCAUAGUAGGCUUUGGAAACUGUUUAACUUGAGUGCAAGAGGGGAGAGUGGAAUUCCAUGUGUAGCGGUGAAAUGCGUAGAUAUAUGGAGGAACACCGGUGGCGAAAGCGGCUCUCUGGCUUGUAACUGACGCUGAGGCUCGAAAGCGUGGGGAGCAAACAGGACUAGAUACCCUGGUAGUCCACGCUGUAAACGAUGAGUGCUAGGUGUUAGACCCUUUCCGGGGUUUAGUGCCGUAGCUAACGCAUUAAGCACUCCGCCUGGGGAGUACGACCGCAAGGUUGAAACUCAAAGGAAUUGACGGGGGCCCGCACAAGCGGUGGAGCAUGUGGUUUAAUUCGAAGCAACGCGAAGAACCUUACCAGGUCUUGACAUCCCUCUGACCGCUCUAGAGAUAGAGUUUUCCUUCGGGACAGAGGUGACAGGUGGUGCAUGGUUGUCGUCAGCUCGUGUCGUGAGAUGUUGGGUUAAGUCCCGCAACGAGCGCAACCCCUAUUGUUAGUUGCCAUCAUUUAGUUGGGCACUCUAGCGAGACUGCCGGUAAUAAACCGGAGGAAGGUGGGGAUGACGUCAAAUCAUCAUGCCCCUUAUGACCUGGGCUACACACGUGCUACAAUGGCUGGUACAACGAGUCGCAAGCCGGUGACGGCAAGCUAAUCUCUUAAAGCCAGUCUCAGUUCGGAUUGUAGGCUGCAACUCGCCUACAUGAAGUCGGAAUCGCUAGUAAUCGCGGAUCAGCACGCCGCGGUGAAUACGUUCCCGGGCCU